rnacentral:rRNA from 1 species
GCCGUCGCAACGCGCGCAAAGGGGUGGGCCAUUAGUUAUAUUAAUGGCUUAAGGUACGUGCUAAUCCCUUGGGUAACCAAGCCUGUGUGAUGAGACCCGACAGGUCAAGGCACAUGGGGAUGAUUCAACCUUUGAAUCAUCGGUCAAUGCAGGAUGAAUUGGUUUCUUCCUGCUUUGAAUAGAUGCUGUGAUGCCCUUAGAUGUUCUGGGCCGCACGCGCGCUACACUGACAGAGCCAACGAGU